CAGCAGGGAAAACCACUGAGCAGUUUUGGAUCAGAAUCUGGAAUCCCCCAGAAUUUAUUAGAAAGCUUUUGUUUUAUGACAUUUUUGUGAGGGCCCUGGAUGUGUAGAAGACCCUAAUUAAGUGAGAGUUAUGAUCGUUUAAUAGGAGACAGUCCCUGCCCUGAAGAGCUUACAGUCUAAACAGACAAGACAGCCAAAAGCUGAAAAAGCCUUGUUUUGCAGUUGAACAGCUCAGCCAUUGGAAAGUUGAAUGACUUUUUCAAGGUCAUACAUACAGAGCUGGGAACUGGAGGCAGACCUGCUCUAGCAUUGUUCCCUGACAGCAUCCCUACUUAUGCAGCAGUCAUUGUAAAAGGCAGCUGGAAAAGGAAAGUGAAGAAGAGCCUGGCCUUGCGGCUGGGGAGGCCCCUCAGCACAGCAUCAGAACCGGAGUGAACGAGCAGUUCUCCUCUUAUCUGAUGUAGCCUGGAGAGCAGACAGAUAGGACUGCAGCAAUCAGUAUGAUGGGAAUGCAGUGGGUGGACUCUAUCAGGAGAAAAGAAACCCUCCCCUCUAUGGAUGAACCUUCAUCUCUCAGUUUCCCCCCUCUCCAGCCCCCAUUCCGGUGGUGAGGCUCAGCCUACUGAAGUUGCUCUUCACCACUGUGCAGAGAACUCCAGCUCUGUAGGUCAAAUUCUACACCUUUGUGAGUGGUCCCACCAUUGGGUUACCUUUCCACAGUCCAUUGUCUUGAGGGACCCCAGCCCUGGCCACUGUCAUCAGCCAGCUUAGAUGCUUCCUCCUC